rnacentral:lncRNA from 1 species
CCCAACACAGCAGUGUCGAGGCUGAGAAAUCCAGGGGUAGAAGGAGCAUUCAAAUGCGAAGGCUUGCGUGCACACAUAUGCACACAAACAUGCAAAUACAAAAAUGACCAGAAGAGGAUAAAAUAGCUGUCUGCAUUAUUUCUAACACUUGCUUAUAAGCAAAACAAGAACAGUAAGAACAGCAAACCUUAGAGUUUUCCAUGACUCUUCUCUCUCUCUUCACUUCCAACAUCAGCACAUCCUGCCAGCUCCUCUUUCAAAUUAUAUCCCAAACCAGCUGCUUCUUACUACCUCCACCGAUAUCUCCUCGCUCCAGCCAUCAUUAUCUCUCACUUGGACCACUGCAAUAGCAUUCUUAAUUUUCUUCCACUCUCUUCUCAUUCAAUCUGUUUUCUGCUCAACAGCCACAGUGAUUCUAAUAACAUAAACCCCAUCAUGUCACUCCCUUGUUGUAAAGCUUAGUCCUCCACUGGAACUAAUCCCAUAUUCCUGUGUAAUAUUGGAAAUGAGUACGGCGUAUUUUUGGUUCUCUUAAUUACUGGGGAGCUACUAACCUUUAGUAACUGGGAGCAGAGGAAACCAAUUGUUCUGUAAUAGGAGAGAUUAUGAAAAAUUGACUUGCCCAAACUGUUUAGCACCUCUGGUAAGAUGCAGUAGCCUCAUUGCCUACACCACACUCCGUCUCGUUCUCUGAACUCUAGCCAGUGACCCUGAUGUUCCUUGAACCUGCCAAUCAUGGUUCAGUCUUGGAUUUGGCACUAGUUCUUCUUCCUUUCAUUUGUCAAUGUCUGAUACAUAAUAUAAUAUAUAUUGAUCAGUGUGUUCUGUUUCUUAUCUGUCUCCCCAUUAGAAAAUGAGCUCCAAAGGGCAAGAGUUUUAUUUGUUUUUCUCAUUUUUGUGUCUUCAGUUCUAAACCACACCUGGCACACAGAAUGUAUUCGACUAAUAUGUGAAGAAUGAAUAAAUGCAUGUAUGUCUUCUCUUAGACAAAAAAAAUCCCGCUGGAAAUGGCCCCCACAAGUAUGAUGGUUGCUGCCUCCCAGGGCCAGGGAAGAAGAAAGAAGAGUUUCAGGCAUGCUGGCUUCUGCUUCAGAUGUUCAGCCAACAGACCAUUCAUGGAUUAGAAACCUGCCAGCUGGCUUAGAAGUCAUGGCAACACUGAGAAAAAUACAGGUACAGGGUGAUGACAUUUACAUUUUACUGGAAUCAAGGCGAAGAAAAAGAAAGGCAAAAGAGUGGUAAGGAUAUAAAACUGAAAAAGAAGAAAAUAACAAAAUGCAGGGAUAGACUGGAAAAAGGCUUACUUAAACUGCUCAUAUCACCCUGUGUGUGAACAUUGUGCAAAUGACAGUAGAGGCAGAAUAAAUGUUUAAAAGAAGAAAAGAAACA